GCAUUCACUUAGCUCUAUCUUCUCUCUCAAUUAACUCGUCCUUCUCGAUUUGUUUUCUCUCUCUCUCCCUCAACUCAUGAAAACCUAGACCCCAAACACCAAAAUCACCUUCGUCAAAAACUCGAUCUACCAAAAUCCCUUAGUCCACUUUGAUGUGCAUGACGACAGCGAGGAAGAUGAGCUUCAGAUCUACUCUUUAGUCAACGGAGGAGGAGGAGGAGGUGAAGCCCAAGGUUCACCUAUUAAGAGCAUGUCUUCUCGUGAUUUUGCAAGCCUCGACCACUCACGACAGGUUCAUUGGGAGCCUUCCCCAAAGCCUCAGCCGGUGACUCGAGAUUCCGGCGAUGAGAGACCGACCCGUGUUCAAAUUGAUGCCCAAAAACCCAGGAUCCCAUUGGAGCUGUAGUACCAAGGGAGAAGGAAGCAACAGUUCAGGCAACUAGCUUCCCCUCUACAGUGGUGAUACUAAUGGUACUUGGCUUGCUUGAGACCAUUGAAGGGAACACAGGGAAUGCGUAGCAGCCCAAUUCAGCAGCUCCCACUGACUCCUCUCCCCUUGAGCUCAGAACAGACUACCAGUAAUCCCAACAACAGCUUUCUUCUCACUAAAAGUAGAACCAAACUUAGGCUAUACUCUUUUUAUUGCAGUCAGAAGAUGUAAUCAUUGCAGCUAGUAUUUUGGUAUGGUAAUGGUGUUCUGGUAAGUUCUAGAUUAGAUGUUCCAAAGGGCUUUUAAUUGAUUAAGUCAUGAUUCCUGUAAUUACUUUCUUUACUUUGGGGAAUUCUAGGUUGUAUGUCUAUAUGUAAACACAUAGAGUUUUAGGAGUAUAAGUAUGUGUAUAGUUAAGUAUGUGUAUAGUUUCUGCGAAUAUGUGCUUGUUAGGUUUAUGAGAAAUUCACUGAAUGUUAAUUUGUUUGUUGCAUAGGUAACAUCGUAUUCAGACAGCAAUCAAACUCUAUGAGAUACUCGAUCCCUUGGAAUUGAAGAAGUUGUAGCUUCAGGUGAUCAUUUUAUCUAAUUUAAUUGGUCCAGUACUGAUAUUAUCAUGUUGUUUAACAUGUAAUUUUCUUUGAGCAGUAAUGACUACGUACUUCACCAAGUAUAGGAAAUCAUGAGAACUAAUGCAGCCUUCUUCACUUUGG